GCGGUCGAUCACCCCCUCGGGGGCGCCCUUAACGAACAUCUUAUUGCCCACGGCGGCCCGCGACGCUUUGGCGGGGGAGCAAUAAACCGACAUGGACUUCCGGUCUCGCGAGAACUCCAACGUGAACUCCUUCUUCAUCAGCUGCUUUAUCACGGAGUUGCAGGCGUUGGCUCGCUCCACUUUGGAGAGGCUGCGGACGUCCGUGUUGAAGACGUUCAUCUUCUCCACCAGGCACGUCAGCGCCGUCUCCGUCGCCUCCCCCACCUUCUCAUAGAUCCCUUUGGCCUCGUUGUAGUCUAAGGAGGAGUCGUUGCAGAGGGCGCAGAUGGUGGCCAACUCCACCAGGCCGUCGUAUUGGCCCGCCUUGAUGUGCUUCUCGUUCUUCAGCACGUCGCCCUCGGGGGCGUAGGUGGAGCCGGUGAUGGAGAACUCGUUAAGGGAGCAGACGUCGCCCUCCACUUUGUCCACGAUGAACAUCUUGCAGACGGACAUCUG
rnacentral:misc_RNA from 1 species